GACGAACGCUGGCGGUGUGCUUCACACAUGCAAGUCGAACGGAGUAGCAAUACUCAGUGGCGGACGGGUGAGUAACACGUGGGAAUCUACCAUUAGAUGGGGAAUAACAGGCCGAAAGGACUGCUAAUGCCGCAUAUGUAUGUACCUCGACAGGGGUGUAUAUGAAAGGAGUAAUCCGUCUGAUGAUGAGCCCGCGUCCGAUUAGCUAGUUGGUAGGGAAAGCCUACCAAGGCGACGAUCGGUAGGUGGUCUGAGAGGAUGAUCACCCACAAUGGGACUGAGACACGGCCCAUACUCCUACGGGAGGCAGCAGUGGGGAAUUUUGUGCAAUGGGGGAAACCCUGACACAGCGACACCGCGUGAGCGAAGAAGCCCUUUGGGGUGUAAAGCUCUGUCAAACGGGAACGAAAAAUAGCGGUACCCGCGGAGGAGCAUCGGCUAACUACGUGCCAGCAG
rnacentral:rRNA from 1 species